CAAUAAUUUAACGACCACGUUUAAUAGACAUGGCUGUUUGAAAGAGUAAGUAUAAAUUAAUUAACGGUAUAAAUACAAAAACGGAUGAAUAUACUUCUGUUCUAUCUAAGUUCAGAGACCUCUUAAUGACUAUCUUGUUUUGGAAGGAAUAAGAAAUGGAAGAGAUGCUUUGGAAGUAAAAGUUGUCAACGACAAGCCUGACAUCACCCAAAGGCCAGCUCUUUUUACAGUAAACCAGGAUGCAGCUGACAAGACAGACUCCAGUAAGAAUCCUCAGCGUUGAUCAAGCAAGUCCAUAUCUAACCCAUCUAGAGCGGGAAUAAUCUUGGAAGAAAACUUUGUAAUGGAUGAACUG